rnacentral:rRNA from 1 species
GAGUCGAGCGAACGAUGAGGUGCUUGCCUUCUGACGUUAGCGGCGAGCGCCGUGAGUAACAUGUAUGGAAUCUACCUAUAAGGGGGGGAUAACUUUCUGAAACGGGUGCUAAUACCGCAUAAUAUCUUCUUCCGCAUGGAAGAAUAUUGAAAGAGGGUUCUGCUGUCACUUAAAGGUGACCUUGCGGUGCAUUAGUUAGUUGGUGGGGUAACGGCCUACCAAGACGAUGAUGCAAAGCCGACCUGAGAGGGUGAUCGGCCACAUUGGGACUGACACACGGCCCAAACUCCUACGGGAGGCAGCAAAGGGAAUCUUCCGCAAUGGGCGAAAGCCUGACGGAACAAUGCCGCGUGAGUGAAGAAGGACUUCGGAUCGUAAAACUCUGUUAUAAGAGAAAAACAAAUUGUACAGUAACUGCUACAGUCUUGACGGUAUCUUAUCAGAAUGCCACGGCUAAAUACGUGCCAACAACCGCGGUAAUACGUAGGUGGAAAGCGUUGUCCGGAUUUAUUGGGCGUAAAGGGAGCGCAGGUGGUUUCUUAAGUCUGAUGUGAGAGCCCACGGCUUAAUCGUGGAA